AGCGAACGCUGGCGGCAGGCCUAACACAUGCAAGUCGAACGAACUCUUCGGAGUUAGUGGCGGACGGGUGAGUAACACGUGGGAACGUGCCUUUUGGUUCGGAAUAACUCAGGGAAACUUGUGCUAAUACCGAAUGUGCCCUUCGGGGGAAAGAUUUAUCGCCAUUAGAGCGGCCCGCGUCUGAUUAGCUAGUUGGUGAGGUAACGGCUCACCAAGGCGACGAUCAGUAGCUGGUCUGAAAGGAUGACCAGCCACACUGGGACUGAGACACGGCCCAGACUCCUACGGGAGGCAGCAGUGGGGAAUCUUGCGCAAUGGGCGAAAGCCUGACGCAGCCAUGCCGCGUGAAUGAUGAAGGUCUUAGGAUUGUAAAAUUCUUUCACCGGGGACGAUAAUGACGGUACCCGGAGAAGAAGCCCCGGCUAACUUCGUG
rnacentral:rRNA from 1 species